rnacentral:rRNA from 1 species
UCCAGACUCCUACGGGAGGCAGCAGUGGGGGAUAUUGCACAAUGGGGGAAACCCUGAUGCAGCGACGCCGCGUGGGUGAAGAAGUAUUUCGGUAUGUAAAGCCCUAUCAGCAGGGAAGAAAGAAGACGGUACCUGACUAAGAAGCCCCGGCUAACUACGUGCCAGCAGCCGCGGUAAUACGUAGGGGGCGAGCGUUAUCCGGAUUCACUGGGUGUAAAGGGAGCGUAGACGGCCGUGCAAGCCAGGAGUGAAAGCCCGGGGCCCAACCCCGGGACUGCUCUUGGAACUGUGCGGCUAGAGUGCGGGAGGGGCAGGCGGAAUUCCUGGUGUAGCGGUGAAAUGCGUAGAUAUUAGGAGGAACACCAGUGGCGAAGGCGGCUUACUGGACUGUAACUGACGUUGAGGCUCGAAAGCGUGGGGAGCAAACAGGAUUAGAUACCCGCGUA